rnacentral:misc_RNA from 1 species
UUUGUCCCGAUUGAUGUGUGUACCGUGCUUACGUCGAAGGCAAAUGCUGCCCCCUAGUUGGUGUCGACCUGCAGACACUGGCCGGGCUUGAUAAUCUCAAG